ACCUAACUCCCUUUGCAUUUCUGCAGAGGGCACUUGGGACUAUUUUAAUUGGACUCCUGUCCCUUCUGUUAGUCUGGGAUCCCAUCCCCUCCUACUUGAUUUGCGUUUCCACAGAGGCUACAAGGGACUGUUAAUGUGCUUAUUAAAUGCAGGUACAAUCCCUUAUGUUAACCUAGGAUCCCAUUCCCACCUAUCUCCUUUUGCAUGACUGCAGAGGUAUUUGAGACCUUUAAAGUGGUUAGUGGCAGCUGUAGUCCCAUCUGUUAAGUGUACUUUCUCAAGCACUCCAAUUCCCUCACGUAACUUGGGAACAUAUUUCGGACUGUCACUGUGCUCGUUUUUGGCUGUGGUCCCUUUGUAAUUCUAGGAUCUCAUCCCUUUCUACUCAUUUGUAUUACUUGUUGGUAUUGGGACAGAAAGGUGCUUAAAUGCAGCUGUAAUCUGUUUUGUUAAUCUAGGAUUCCAUGCCCUCUUAACUCCCUUAACAUUACCUAGGAGUGUAUUUGGGACUGUUGAAGUGCUUAAUUGCAUCUGUGGUCCCUUCUGUUAGUCUCACUUCCCAUGCCCUCUUACUCCCUUUGCGUUACAGCAGAGGGCACUUGGGACUAUUAAAGUGUUUAAUUGCAGCUGUGGUCCCUUCUCAGUCUGGGGUCCAUCCCCUCCAGCUUUGUUUGCAUUACCACAGAAGGUACUUGGAUCUGUGAAUGUGUUUAAAUGCAGAUAUGGUCCCUUUUGUUAGUUUUGGAUCCCAUGACCCCCUUUACAUUACCUGGGAGGGCAUUUGGGACUGUCAUGAUGGUAAUUGCACCUGUGUUCCCUUCUGUUGGUCUAGAAUCCCGUUACCUCCUACUCCCUUUGCAUUACAUGGGAGCGUUUUUGGGACUCUUAAGAUGCUUAACUGCAACUAUGGUCCUUUCUGUCAGUCUAGUUUCCAGUCCCUUUCUACUCCAGUACCCUUACCACAGAGGGUACUUGGGACUGUUGUGGUGCAUCCCAUCCUCUCACACCCUGUCAGCAUUACAGCAUAGGGUCCUGAACACCAAGGCCCCUUCUUUUCACUGUUAAUGCACAAUUGCAUUUGUCCUUCUUCCUCUGCAGUAUAUAAAGACCUCACUAACUUCCCUUGUAUUCAGUGGUGGAUGCCCUUUACUCAAGACCUUUGUACUAGAAUAAAGUGAACCAUGGUAAUUGACCACAAAUAUAUCUUUCACUUAAGUCCCUUGUACUCUCUUUGUUUUAAAAGAAGAUGUAUUAAUUACCUCCGUUACUUUUUCUGGGAGUAUUUACAUGCAAAAUUCCAGUGUUCAAGGCCCCUGUCUUUAAUAUCCCUCCCUUUCUGUAUUAUAUCAGGGGAUGUUAGUGACUCAGAGUCCUUCUCUUUGGACUCAUUGUGCAUGUGCCCUCGUGACAAGCUAAUAUCUGGAGUUCUUAGUAUUAUAGGAGGGACUACUGACUAGUUUCUCUUUUGGACAGUUAAUGUGCAAAAUUACACUAGGAUCCCAUCACAUUUCACCUCCUUUGCAUCAGGGGUCCUGAUCAACUGUGGCUGCUUUUCCUCUAGAGUUUAAACGUGCAUAAUUUCAGUAACCCAUGCUCCCUUAUGUUAGAUUAGGAUCCCAUUUCCUUGCCCCAUUUACGUUACUGCGGGGGCUUCUGACUAGCCAAGAUAAGUUUUCUUGGACUGUUAAUGUGUAUACUUACAUUUGCUCCUGUACCUGUACACCAGGUAAGGACCCUCCCCAUUCUAUUUAUAUUCCAACAGGAGGUGCCUACUACUCAAGAUCUUACACACUACUGCAGUUAAUGUGCACAAUCUUAGUUGUCUUGUAUACAUUCUCAGUUGUCCACAACUGUGCUUUUUAGAUCAGGACUCCACUUAUUGAAGCACAGGUUACUUACUACCUUAAAGCCCUUGUUUUGGGACUGUGACUAUGUGUAAUUAAAAUUGUCCAUGGUCCUUUGAGUUAACUUGUGUCCCUGACUCUUUUCACACUCCCUUUGCUUUACUGCAUGGGGUACUGUCCACUUAAGGCCCCUUUCUCAAAUACGUGUAAUGACAAUUACAUUAGGAUCCUUCCCCUUCAAACCCCUUAGAAGUACCACAAAGAUUUUGACCCCUAAGUCCCAUUUCUUGUCCUGUUAUUGUAUUUGUCUGGGUUCCUGUGCACUAGACAAGGACACCUCUCCAUUCCCUGUCCUUCCAGCAGGAAGUGCCCCCUCCACAGGACUGUUAAAUUUGGACAGUCAAGGUGCACAAUUGUAACUGACCACAACCAGUCACCUUGGACAUUAAUGUGCAUAACUGCACAUGGCUCAUCCCAUAUGGAUAAGAUCCUAUCCUCUCAGACCCCUUUUGUAGUACAGCAGGGGUAAUGAUCACUAAGGCCUCUUUUUAUGGCUUGUUAUUGUGCAUAAUUGCAUUUGUGCAUGUUCCUGUACAGUUGAUGGGGGCACCUAUCUCCCCACUCCCUUUGUCUUUUAGCAGGGAGUGCCUGCUACUUUAAGAUCCUUAUAUUUGUACAAGGUAUACGAUUUUAAUUGACCACACCAUGUCCCUUCGACAUUAAUGUACAUAACUGCAACUUAGUUCAUCUUAUCCUGUUGCCCUCCAUUUGCAGUAUAUCAGGGUUGCUGACCCAUAUAUCCCCAUUCCUUGGCCUGUUAAUGUGCAUAAUUGCAUUUGGUUCUUGGGCAGUAGACAAGGAUCCCCUCCUCCCCCACAUUUCCUAUGCCUUCCAGUAGGUUGUGCCCACCACCAAGACCUUUCUAUUUGGACAGUUAAUGUGCAGAAUUGCAGUUUUUCACAACCCUGUUACUUCUAGGACUAUUUUAUCUCCUUUGUAAUACUGCAGGGGAUACUGUUUUCCCCCAAGGUCCCUUCUAGUGGACCGUUAAUAUACAUAAUUGAAAUUGUUGUCUUUAUCAGUAGACUAAUGUCAUAUCCCCUCAGCUAACUAUCAUGACCUCAGCUCUUGGACAAUUAAUAUGCACCAAUAACAUAUCAAAAGUACGAUCAUUAGAUAGGACCCCUGUACCCUCACUGUAUACAUCAGAGGUACUGACUAAGGCCCCUUUUUUGGACUGAUAAUGUGAAUAUUUGCAAUUAUCUAUUCUCUCUUCUUUUUAGAGUCGGAUAGCAUCCCUUUGCACCCCCUUUGCAUUACUGCAGGGGCUGCUAAUGACACAAAACUUCUACUGGGACUGCUGAUGAGCACAAUGGCAUUUAGCAAUGGGUUUUUCCUCCCUGGCUUUGUUAGGCAAGCAUUCCCAGCUCCAGCUUCCCAUGGCAUAAUAAAGUAUAAACACUGCAGUAUGCUGUGAACUUGUCCAUCAAACAACGACCCAUACUCCCACUCCUUUUGCAUUGGCUCCAGUGUAUCAAAUUCCAAGUAAUCAUAGUCUUGCCAUUAUCUUCCCUCUCCAGACCACUUGCCUGCCCUUGGACCCUUCUUAUGGAAUAUUAAUGCUCACAAUUUCAGGUGUCCAUGUACCCAGAUAAGAUUGUGCUCUCUUGCCCCUCCUGCUCCUGCCCUGCCCCUUUUGCAUAGUUGAUGGGAAAUGUUGACUGAGCAAAAUGCUUUUCUCUUGGACUUAAAACGUUAACAAUCUCAGAUGUCAUUGUUUUGCCCAUUUUGAAUUUCUGUAAUACCUUGGUUGCACUUUCUUUGGUCCGGCCCGUUAGACAUGGACCCUUCCACUUCCUUCUUUGCAUUACUUCUGAGUAGUGCUGACCUCCCACAACCCCUUCGGUGUUAUUAACACAGUAUUAAUUGUCCCAUUUUUUAGCCCAUCAGCCCAAGAUCUCCCUACCACUUUGAUGUUGUGUUUGUGCAGUAUUGACUACCAAAAGCAAGCCUGAACUAGGUGGCUGGGCCUUCACUCCUUUUCCUGCAUUUGUCAAUGAUCCCAGUUCCAAUUCUUUUCACAUUCUGGGGACAGGAACCAUUCCUACCCCCCUCUUACUGCUUUACUAGGCAAAAUGCCCAAGGCAAGUCAGACCCAAGGGAACUGGAUUGCUAUCCUUUAUUUGGGGUUUUCAUUAUACAUAAGUAUCAAUUGAAAAUUGUCUCCCCAGGAAGGAAGUUUAGCACUAUCUGUGCAUUCUUCCUUUCAAAGCAGAUUGCCUGGCUAAGACUCUCUCCUCUCUUCUUGUAUAUUGCCAUUGUAUAGUGUCAACUGCCAAGAUACAACCAAAAAGUUGCUGUUAAGUUUUUAUGUUGUAAGGAAGAUUGCAAGUUAGAAUUGAUAACCUGGUCAUUGAAAUUUUGAAGUCUAAAAACCUAUUUAUACCAUGUACCUGAUGACCAGUGUCUCUCAUUUUACUAAGGGUGGUGGGUCUGUGGAUAGACCACUGUGACUUUGAUAUUUUAGUAUGAUCAAAGGAGUUCUAGAGUGGAACUCUUAAGACCAGUAUCUUUGGGCUCUACCACCAUUUUCAAACCAUUCCUUGUUUGGGCUUUAACAAUUUUCACUUUUAGAAAAACUACCUAAACCUCCUAAUCCUUAAAUUUUUUCAUCUGGAGCUCCAACCAGCCCCUACUUAUUUCAAGAAGAUUGCUGUAAAAGGAUAAAAAUGAGAGAACAUAUGCAGAGGUGCUUUUGAAAACCAUAGAUCAAUUUAUUUGAUUAAUCUAUUACAUAAAAUGCCCCCUGUUUAAUUCUGCUAAUUUAAAGUAGCCUAAAGCACCACACUGAAGUGAGGACUUAGAAAUGAUGGAACCAGUUUCCCCAUUUUAUAUGAAAAGAAAAAUAAGCCAAGGUCUAAUCAUUCUUUCGGAUAUAAAUUUCAACAGUGAGGUAGCUGCCUGGUAAAAAUGAAUAGUGUUCCAGCUCUAGUGUACAGGGUGUUUGGUGGCAGAGAAGUAUUUAAUAUGGAACUGCUGGAGCAAAUAACUAGUUAUCACUACAGCAGUUCUUUGUAAUCACUGAGAAAGGAUACUCUUCUCUGAGAAGGAUGUCAAAAGAUUCGCCCAGCUCAGGGUGCUGUUUGCACUACUAGCUCCUUGGACAGCUGUAAGAAGUCUCUGGCUCUUUAGAAUACUGGAUGAAUUCUGAGCUGGUACCCCCACUCAAGAGGAAGGAUGGAUCGAUUUUAGGUGGAUUGAAGCCUGCCCUAGACAGCAUCCAAAGUCCUUCUGUGAUACUGCCAGUGCUUGCCAUUACAGGACCUUAAGGAGACAACAGGCUAGAGAGGAGAGACAGGAGACACCUAUAUCUAAUGCUUCAGGACAUUCUGAGCAUGUGAGACCUGAGGAACUGCAAGCAGCUUUAAGAAGCUCUACAUUCAACAAGUCUUUCCUUUUAAGAAUCUGGAUAAGCUCCAACCAAUCUAAGAGGAUGGCUUGCCGGCUCCCUGGAGAAAAAGAUCUUCCUCAGAAGAAUAGGCUUGUUGCUUUACAGUGUUAAUGACCCAUUCCCUUUGACGAUCCCUAGGUGGAGAUGGGGCAUGAGGAUCCUCCAAGGGAAAAACUCACUAUCACUGAGCAACAACCCUAGGCCAGGAGGUUCUACCAAGAUUCUUUCCUGGGCCCAGUUAGGAGGAUGAAAUCUCAAGACAACCACCACACAUCCAGAGGAGAACAUGGACAACAACUGCCACAUCUGUGACAUUGAUCAUGGGCAGAUCAUCAUUCUGGACCCUCUGGUCUCCAAAGUCUCCCUUGAGGCCCUGUUGGAGAACUUUGCCAAUCAUUUACGUACUUCAGGAUGCCUUGGGAUAGCUGUUGGACAAAAGAAAAAACAAGCUGUUUGAGAAGAUAAAACAGAGCUGUGUCUUUUUAUGCUGUGCCUGCUAAUUGACAGAAACUUCACAGCUAUGAGUGGGAAUGUGACUAGAAGUGGCACAAAGUUAUCUAUCGUCAGGCUGGAUCUAAAGAACUAGCACCCUGCGUAUUCUAGCUCCUGAUUGUUCCCUUCAUAUCUGUCCAAUCAUUAUCUUUCCCAGAAGCAGUGCAAAGAGCAAGACAUUUGAACACACCAAAGGAAGAUCAACAUGCCUGGCACUCUAGAAUUUUAGAAUAGCAGAAUGAAUGUGUCUUUGUUUGCUUAUCUAUUUCUUCCUUGAAUGUCUUUGGUCUUUCUCCUCUAACUAAAGUGUGUCUUACCCAUUUCCAUGAUUCUCUUACUAGUUUCUUCUCUGUAUAUCUUUGUCUCAUUUUCUUUCUUGUACCCAAGAGUGGUCUGUGUCUUGUCUUAGAUGUCUCUCUCUAGUGUUUUCAUUUUGUUACUGAUUCUCCUUGCUCUCCUAGAUCUGGCUCUUCUUUCACUGUUUGUCUCUUUGCGUCUCUUGAGUCACAUGCUGUGUGCUUUUUGCUCACUUCUUGCUAUGCCUACCUUCUUCUUUUUCUCUUUGUGAACUGUUUGUAACCCCCUCCCCUUGAUGGUUUGACAUUUCACCUUUUCUGAUACUGGCCACCCUUCUGCUGUUUCUACUCUUUAUCUUGCAUUGCUCUUUUCUACAUAGUCUUUCUGCCUCUCUUGGGCCAUUUUCUCUUUUCUUCCUGCUUUGUGUGCCCCAGUGUCUCUUUGUUCUUUGUGAUUUUCCAUGUCAGCAUUCAUCUCUGUGUUCUCUUAUUUCUUCUCUGCUUUUGCCUUUCUACUUACCUUUGAGUAUUUCAGUCUCUUCUUGAGUCUAUGUCUCCCCCACUUUGAUUUCAUGCAGUCCUCUCUCCUUGCAUACUUUUUGUGCAUGUGUGUGUGCAUGCUUUUGUGUGUGUGUGUGUUUGUAACAAAGGGGUCUCCUAACCCCUUCCUAAUAGGUGCAGAGUGUCAGCUAUCAAAAUAUAAGCAUUGAAGAGCUGUUCCUUAUGCCAGGCUGCCUGUGAGAUGAUCCAAGACCAAUAAAAGGCCCAAAGGUCUAGACUGGAGUUGGACGGAAGACUCAAGUCUCGGUGAGACAGAAGGCCAAAGACCCAGGAUGGGAUGAAAAGCCUUCGCUUGAAGACCUAUGACCCAAAAAUGGAAGGGCCCAAGCACACAUAAAGACCCAGAACUCAAGCCUGUCUAUAUAGACAGAAGGCCCAAGAGAGACAGAUAUCUCCAGACUAAAUUAGGCGGGAAGCUGGAGGCCCAUGACCCAGAAUCCAGGAAGGAUAGAAGCCCCAAGACCAAAGGAAAUUCCAAGAUGAGAACCCUAAACCGCAGCUCUUUUCUAUUGUUCUCCUCCCUACUCUUGGACAUUUUCAGUUCUCCCUUCCCUGUUCUCAUAUCUCCAUUUAAACCCACUUCUUUUGAGAUGUCAUUUUUGAUGUUGCUGCUACUUUAAAGAAACACACCUUUAGAUCAGUAAUAUUAUGCCUGGGCCAGUCUUAAGCCAGUUUUUAUCGCACUUUUAAGCCAUUUAUUAAGGUUUUGGUGUUUUGCAAAGUUCCAUUUCUCUUCACCUCCUCUCCACUUGAGAGGGACACAUAGGUGACUUUAUAUUUCAGUCCCUUCUUUCCUCAGAAGCUCUAGGCUGAUGAGAGAAGUAAAGCAUCAGGUUACUGAGUGGAAAAUAAGUGCCAGGCUAUCUAGAGAAAAUGUGAAGAGAUGCUCCAGGCCAAUGAGAAGAACUAGACAAGAAAUACACAGAUGUGCCAGCUUGCUGAGAAGCACCAGCCAGCAACAUAUUACUUCUUUGAGCUUGGUUUCUGGCAUCCCAAGACUACCACUACUGCUAAAAAAGAAUAAGAGAACAUGUUAUCAUCUGAUUUUUGUGGCAUAAAUGAAGUUGUGAAAAAAUCUUUUUUUACAAAGGAAAUGGCUUCAUCUUUAUCCUUCUACCUCAAAGGGAAUCUAUGCCAAAAUGCUCCGAUGAAUGGAAGGCACACUUGGACUUGUGAACUGAAGUGAAACGCAGAAUCUCUGAGCCAUGGUUGUUUUGAAGAUCGAAAAGUCUUGUUCAGCAUGGGUGACCAGCAAAAAAGCAAUCUAGAGCUGUCUGUAUGUCACAACUGAGACAAAUUGGGGAGUUUGUUGUUUAAUGCCAAAUAAAAAUGUACUGUUUUGAAAA